UACGGAGGGGGUUAGCGUUGUUCGGAAUGACUGGGCGUAAAAGCGCGCGUAGGCGGGCAUUUAAGUCGGGGGUGAAAUCCCGGGGCUCAACCCCGGAAUGGCCUUCGAUACUGGGUGCCUAGAGUUCGAGAGAGGUGAGUGGAAUUCCGAGUGUAGAGGUGAAAAUUCGUAGAUAUUCGGAGGAACACCAGUGGCGAAGGCGGCUCACUGGCUCGACACUGACGCUGAGGUGCGAAAGCGUGGGGAGCAAACAGG
rnacentral:rRNA from 1 species